rnacentral:rRNA from 2 species
GCUUGCUCCCGGAUGUUAGCGGCGGACGGGUGAGUAACACGUGGGUAACCUGCCUGUAAGACUGGGAUAACUCCGGGAAACCGGAGCUAAUACCGGAUAGUUCCUUGAACCGCAUGGUUCAAGGAUGAAAGACGGUUUCGGCUGUCACUUACAGAUGGACCCGCGGCGCAUUAGCUAGUUGGUGAGGUAACGGCUCACCAAGGCGACGAUGCGUAGCCGACCUGAGAGGGUGAUCGGCCACACUGGGACUGAGACACGGCCCAGACUCCUACGGGAGGCAGCAGUAGGGAAUCUUCCGCAAUGGACGAAAGUCUGACGGAGCAACGCCGCGUGAGUGAUGAAGGUUUUCGGAUCGUAAAGCUCUGUUGUUAGGGAAGAACAAGUGCAAGAGUAACUGCUUGCACCUUGACGGUACCUAACCAGAAAGCCACGGCUAACUACGUGCCAGCAGCCGCGGUAAUACGUAGGUGGCAAGCGUUGUCCGGAAUUAUUGGGCGUAAAGGGCUCGCAGGCGGUUUCUUAAGUCUGAUGUGAAAGCCCCCGGCUCAACCGGGGAGGGUCAUUGGAAACUGGGAAACUUGAGUGCAGAAGAGGAGAGUGGAAUUCCACGUGUAGCGGUGAAAUGCGUAGAGAUGUGGAGGAACACCAGUGGCGAAGGCGACUCUCUGGUCUGUAACUGACGCUGAGGAGCGAAAGCGUGGGGAGCGAACAGGAUUAGAUACCCUGGUAGUCCACGCCGUAAACGAUGAGUGCUAAGUGUUAGGGGGUUUCCGCCCCUUAGUGCUGCAGCUAACGCAUUAAGCACUCCGCCUGGGGAGUACGGUCGCAAGACUGAAACUCAAAGGAAUUGACGGGGGCCCGCACAAGCGGUGGAGCAUGUGGUUUAAUUCGAAGCAACGCGAAGAACCUUACCAGGUCUUGACAUCCUCUGACAACCCUAGAGAUAGGGCUUUCCCUUCGGGGACAGAGUGACAGGUGGUGCAUGGUUGUCGUCAGCUCGUGUCGUGAGAUGUUGGGUUAAGUCCCGCAACGAGCGCAACCCUUGAUCUUAGUUGCCAGCAUUCAGUUGGGCACUCUAAGGUGACUGCCGGUGACAAACCGGAGGAAGGU